rnacentral:rRNA from 1 species
AUUGAACGCUGGCGGCAUGCUUUACACAUGCAAGUCGAACGGUAACAGGCCGCAAGGUGCUGACGAGUGGCGAACGGGUGAGUAAUGCAUCGGAGCGUGCCCAGUCGUGGGGGAUAACUACUCGAAAGAGUAGCUAAUACCGCAUACGAUCUAUGGAUGAAAGCGGGGGACCGUAAGGCCUCGCGCGAUUGGAGCGGCCGAUGUCAGAUUAGGUAGUUGGUGGGGUAAAGGCUCACCAAGCCAACGAUCUGUAGCUGGUCUGAGAGGACGACCAGCCACACUGGGACUGAGACACGGCCCAGACUCCUACGGGAGGCGGCAGUGGGGAAUUUUGGACAAUGGGCGCAAGCCUGAUCCAGCAAUGCCGCGUGCAGGAAGAAGGCCUUCGGGUUGUAAACUGCUUUUGUACGGAACGAAACGGCUCUGGUUAAUACCCGGGGCUAAUGACGGUACCGUAAGAAUAAGCACCGGCUAACUACGUG